GAUGAACGCUGGCGGCGUGCCUAAUACAUGCAAGUCGAGCGAACGGACGAGAAGCUUGCUUCUCUGAUGUUAGCGGCGGACGGGUGAGUAACACGUGGAUAACCUACCUAUAAGACUGGGAUAACUUCGGGAAACCGUAGCUAAUACCGGAUAAUAUUUUGAACCGCAUGGUUCAAAAGUGAAAGACGGUCUUGCUGUCACUUAUAGAUGGAUCCGCGCUGCAUUAGCUAGUUGGUAAGGUAACGGCUUACCGAGGCAACGAUGCAUAGCCGACCUGAGAGGGUGAUCGGCCACACUGGAACUGAGACACGGUCCAGACUCCUACGGGAGGCAGCAGUAGGGAAUCUUCCGCAAAGGGCGAAAGCCUGACGGAGCAACGCCGCGUGAGUGAUGAAGGUCUUCGGAUCGUAAAACUCUGUUAUUAGGGAAGAACAUAUGUGUAAGUAACUGUGCACAUCUUGACGGUACCUAAUCAGAAAGCCACGGCUAACUACGUG
rnacentral:rRNA from 1 species